AGGAUUAAAGUUGGGUACAGAGAG
rnacentral:piRNA from 1 species